GACGAACGCUGGCGGCGUGCUUAACACAUGCAAGUCGAGCGGAAAGGCCCUUCGGGGUACUCGAGCGGCGAACGGGUGAGUAACACGUGAGUAACCUGCCCCAGACUUUGGGAUAACCCUCGGAAACGGGGGCUAAUACCGGAUACGACACAGCUUCGCAUGGGGUCUGUGUGGAAAGUUUUUCGGUUUGGGAUGGGCUCGCGGCCUAUCAGCUUGUUGGUGGGGUGAUGGCCUACCAAGGCGACGACGGGUAGCCGGCCUGAGAGGGAGACCGGCCACACUGGGACUGAGACACGGCCCAGACUGCUACGGGAGGCAGGAGUGGGGAAUAUUGCACAAUGGGCGGAAGCAUGAUGCAGCGACGCCGCGUGAGGGAUGACGGCCUUCGGGUUGUAAACCUCUUUCAGCAGGGACGAAGCGUAAGUGACGGUACCUGCAGAAGAAGCGCCGGCCAACUACGU
rnacentral:rRNA from 1 species